ensembl:lncRNA
AUGGGCUCUGACCACCGGGGUUUCCAAUCCCUGUGGGCAACAGGGGAAAGGAAGUGGUGUGCAGACAGGGUGGGGGCCCCUGCGGGAGCCCCACUGCAGGGCUGGCAGCGGGAGCCGGGAAAGCGGGAGACGCAGGAGCCGGGGCAGGGGCGCGGAUCAGCCAGCCUGCAGGCCUACAGGCCCCGCAGCGGAGGCAGGAGACACAGGAGCUGGGGCAGGGGUGCGGAUCAGCCAGCCUGCAGGCCUACAGGGCCCGCAGCGGAGGCAGGAGACGCAGGAGCCGGGGCAGGGGUGCGGAUCAGCCAGCCUGCAGGCCUACAGGGCCCCGCAGUGGAGGCAGGAGACGCAGGAGCCGGGGCAGGGGUGCGGAUCAGCCAGCCUGCAGGCCUACAGGCCCCGCAGCGGAGGCAGGAGACGCAGGAGCCGGGGCAGGGGUGCGGAUCAGCCAGCCUGCAGGCCUACAGGCCCCGCAGUGGAGGCAGGAGACACAGGAGCUGGGGCAGGGGCGCGGAUCAGCCAGCCUGCAGGCCUACAGGCCCCGCAGUGGAGGCAGGAGACACAGGAGCCGGGGCAGGGGUGCGGAUCAGCCAGCCUGCAGGCCUACAGGGCCCCGCAGUGGAGGCAGGGCCACAGGUGGGCCUGAGGAAGCACUUCCUGCAGCUGAGUGCAGCCGGUGCCUUGAGUCAGACCCUGGUGCCCCUCUGAUCUCAGUGUCACCCCAGGGGAGGCUCAGCCCUCUCUGGCUCUGUCCCCUCUGCUAGGACCCACGGUGCCCCUAAGCCUUGAUUCCCCCGUCCUUGCCAGGCCCAGUGGCAGAGCGGAGGGACUCGGCACAGGGCAGGAAGGGAAUGGAAGUGGGAGGGCAAUGAAGCUGAGGAGGGUCGCGCUGGGCCAUACCGGGGACUCCCGGAGGAAGGCACCUCCCUCCCGACACGCCACAUGGCCACAGGUCCUGGAGCUCACUCCCCAGAGAUACGGCAGGCUGGAUUCUGGCCCAUGGACAGGAGACCGCUGCCUUCCAGGCCAGGCAGGAGGCAGGCAACUCCGCCCCUCCCAGCCCAGGUCCCCCACCGGGGGCAGGUGGCUUCUGAGCACGGUUCCGAAGGCGGUGAGGGUCUGUCCCGGCCACCCUCUCCGCAAAGUGCAUUUCUCCCAGGCCUUGUCACAGCGUGCAGCCACUCAUCCCACCUGGCUCCUGCUGUCUGUGCACCAGCGUGGACGCGGCCGGGGCCCGCCAGGCCUCUCUGCCACCCGCCCGUCUGUGCAUGGCUGCCUCAGGCACUGGGUCUCCCUGGCUGCCAGCACUGACCUUCAGGGUGAGGCUCGGCAGUUCCAGGAUUUCCCGAGGAGGAAGAAGCAGAAAGAGCAAGGUCAGGGCGGCGGCCGAGACCCCCGUGCCAAGGUCAGCCCAGGGCUCUGCCCUCACGCUGAGCACACUCGAAGGGCGUGUGGGUGAGCACCACGUCCCGGCCAGGUCCUGGGAGAUGUGAGUGCCGUCCUGCUCCUUCCUCUUCAAGCCCUGGGAGCUCCAGGAGGAACACAGAGGGGCAGGCCUAGAUCCGUGGUCCUCCAAGACGCAGAGCCAGGGCGGGCCCUGUGCUACAGUGAAGACGCCACGUGGGAUGCCCGCCUCCCGGCCACACAGCCUGGCUUUGAGUCCCCGCUCCGCUUCUGCUUCCAGCUCCCUGCUAACACACACCCCGGGAAGCAGCAGCCAACGGCUCAGGGACCGCGAGGGUCCCUGUCACUCUCGUGGGAGACCCAGCUGGAGUUCCCAGCGCCUCGUGUUGGCCUAGCCCAGCCCUGAUUAUUGAGGGCAAAAACAAGUGGAUGGAAGAGCACUCGCUUGCUCUCUCUCUCUGCCCUUUAGUAAGAAUUAAUAAAAAUGUAAAGCCCUGCA